GAUGAACGCUGGCGGCGUGCUUAACACAUGCAAGUCGAACGAAGCACUUUCUUAAGCUUGCUUUUGAAAGUGACUGAGUGGCGGACGGGUGAGUAACGCGUGGGUAACCUACCUCAUACAGGGGGAUAACAGUUAGAAAUGACUGCUAAUACCGCAUAAAAUGGCAGCUUCGCAUGAAGCAACCAUCAAAGAUUUAUCGGUAUGAGAUGGACCCGCGUCUGAUUAGCUAGUUGGUAAGGUAACGGCUUACCAAGGCGACGAUCAGUAGCCGACCUGAGAGGGUGACCGGCCACAUUGGGACUGAGACACGGCCCAA
rnacentral:rRNA from 1 species